UACUAUUUUAAUAUUUAAAAAUCGGUGCAGUUUCAAAGAUAUUUUUAAUUUUAAUUUUUUGAAAAAUCUUAAACCUUUAAAUAUUCUGAUUGUUUACAAUUAAGAAUACUACCAACAAAUAUAUAUCUAAAUAAUUUAUAUUUUACCAAAUUUACAUGUACUUUAUAAUUUACACGUAUAAUUUAAUUUAUUUUAUUGUUAAGUGUUAAAUAAAUAAUAAUAUAUUUGUAUUGCAAUAUAUAGUUUAGACAAUGUUUUUUAUUUUUUUCUUCUCUCUGUGCGACGCGAUACUCUUUGAUUCUUCUAUUUUUGGAGGAAAGAAACGUCUUAUAAUUAAACAGCAUUUCCGUGCAUUCGACAAAAAACGCGAAUCCGACUUACGUACAUAUUAUAAAACAAUAAUUCACGUCUCGUCAAGAUAAAAACAAGACGAUAAAGCGAUCCCGAUAAAAACAGAUACUUUUUUCUUUAUCGAUUCUUGUUAAAUUACUCACUUUAAAGUAAAUGUAAAUAUUGUACCGCUAUUUUCUUUUUAAGAUUUACACUUUAAAUUUCCCAAGCGAAACAUAUGCCAAAAGAAGGUUUCAAGAAGUUAACUCAUAUUUAAAUUUAAUCUACCCGAAUAAAGUCCACGUGAUUUAUUCGUUUUCGCCUUAAAAAUUCACUGAUAACGAAAUGUAUUCCUGUUUCGCUUGACAUGAAACGCUCGACUCUAUUCAUGCGCGCACACGCGUGCAGCGUGUUCACAUCCGCGUCACUCUAUAUACGCAGUAACGCAGUUCUCGUCAGGGAUUCGAACGGUUUUUCGUUUCGAAUUGAGAUCGAGAACCGUCGCGCCGCGUCGUCGAGAACGUCAACACGGGUCCCCGUCGACGCGCGCGAAAAUUCCACACUCCAAUUAAUUGUAUCACUCGCACGCGUGUAUACGCAUUCACGACCCCGUCGCGUCGUCGACCCUAAUCGUCGUAAAUUUAAAUGAUAUCGCAAGACAGAAGAGAAAAAGAAAAAGAGGAAACUGAGAAAGACGUAACAAAUUUAUUGAGAGCUUCUCUUAUGCAAUGAACGGACGAGUUGAUUUUUAUCGCCUUCUCGGGAGGCGCACGCAUAAUUCCGCGGCCGCGACGGUCAUUAUAUCAUAUGCGCUGGCAACUACCGCAUUGGCGUAUUGACAGCGCGUUUCAUCCCAUUGUCACUCUACUCCGCCAUUGUUCGACGUCGGGACUCGCGGUGUUGACGGUGGUGAAAUGUAAGCCGACCGCUAUCAGCCGAACGGGAUGACAGCAUCGAGGAGAUAAGAAAACCGUCGUCGCUUCGUCGGUGCACAGUCACGCGUUUUAAAGGGGCUCGUGCACAGCGUGGUGCGAGGAACUUUCCUUCUCAUGCCAAGGGUGAUGGUGCCGGUCGCAGUGCCGGAUCCGAAUGAACCACGGGCCCCGUUGUAAGGUGUACGUUAGACAUCUGCUCAGGUUGGCACGUUGGCAGCGAUACCGGACGGACGCACGGUGCCGCUCGGGUGCGGAAGAGGGGUUCGGAAAGGAGAGAGGAGAGGGAAAGGUCGCGCGGCCGCAAGUACAGCUGCACCCGGCGACGACGUACGUACGGGAUAGCUGGAGGCCAAGCAGUGCCGACCUCUCUCACCCCCGAAUCUUAGCGGCACCAUUGUGACAUCAUCGGCGAGUUUUCGGCGGGUAACAACCGCCGAAUAAUUAUGAGGCACGAGCGUGGAUCCGUUUUCGCACGGUGGCAAUAACGGCCGUGAAUCCCGAGAGAUGUGCGAGAAGGCGAGAACCGGCCGAGCGUCGGCGAGCGACUUCCUGGAAUGCUCCACGCUUUCUACUUGCGACGGGCUUAAAUAUCUCGGCGAACGUAGCGAUACGUCAUCGACCGGCACGGCUGCACGUAAACGAAUACCGAACGUAACGAGUUUCCCCUUCCCCUUUCGUUUCUCUUGACGGACGUCCAUUCCUUUCCCAGGAUGCGAUAACUUUUUUUUUUCACGUUGUUCUAUUGCCCAUGUUUAUUUCUUUUUUUUUAAAUACUAAUCUUUUACUUUAAUUCCUACGAGAGAGAGAGAGAGACUUUCGCGAAUGCCGCUGAUGAUGACGGGGCAUCGUCGGGGCAUUUCGGUCAGGCCGCGCGGAUUACUAACCCAGAUAGUUGAAUCUGUCGAAAACAGAAGUUUUGCAAAGUGCCCGCUGCAAGUUUCAUCGGCCAAUAUAACAAAGUUUAAUAGCCGAUUGUGUCAGCAAAAUCCAUCCCGUAGCUCUAUUUAAAUAUUACGUUUCGUUCGAAUGAUUGCGGAAUGAUGGAAAUAUUCUACUCGGUCUCUGCUGGUGAUCUGCUGUCAGAUGACUUAUAUAGUCAGUAGAUUCUACUGGGGGGACGGUAUAAUGCGGACGCGCAGUUGACGCCAAUCUAUCGCGAUAUUCUACUUGUGUCCGCUGGCAUACUGUUAAUAUUUUGUUCACUGAGAAUUUAACAGACUCCCAAACAUAAAAUCAUUACUGUCAUUACGUAACGUUUUCAAAUAUUUACACAUUGUAUAUGUUUUUAAAACAUUUCGUGUUUCGAAAAAAAUCACGUGUAUCGACCAAUGUUUUUAAAAUAUUUAUAUAACGUUUCAAAACGUUUAAAAGUACACACACGGAGAGAAAUGUUGAGCAAAAUUUGAUUGAUGUGUGAGUAAUGAAAUUAUAUCGUUGUAUUAAUUAAAAAGUUUGUCUGUCCUUAUAGAAAUGUAAUAUUAUUGGGUAUUAAAAGCACUGCUGCUGUUAAUAUUUUUAAUAUUCCAAAUAAGUAAUAAUUAUUACCCAAUUUAAUACUGUUCAGUAUUAAAUUUUUGUAAAGAUAGUCAAGUUUGUUAAAAUGGCAAAAUUUUGUAAUUAACAACAAUAUUAUUUUAAUCACGUAAUGACUAAAGCUGUGGUUGCUAACACAAAACGUUUCUCUCGGCGUGCAUGAAAUCGACAUUUCUAAAUGUUACUUUUAUGUUUCUCGCUUACUUAGGCUACGAGCCCAUUUCAGGCUGUUUGUCACUUGUUUGCGCAAUUUCUGGCAAAAACCAUCUCUUCCGCCGCGUGUUCAUCUAAAACACGAUCCAUCUAUCGUUUUUAGCACGUCUCUUCUAAGUUUCCGACAAAUUUCUCCACUUAAGCUCGUCGUUAAUUUGAAAUCUCUCUAAAUUAGAACACUUGUUAUUAAAUGCAUUCAACAAUUCGAUACGGUUGUAACAUAACGUUUGCGAUCGUCGAUCAUCACACGAGAGUCAGAUCAGACUUGACUCUGUGCCAAGUAAUGGACAAGCGACAAAGUAAUGGAUUGGCGCAAAGGUCUGCAAACUGUGCGACAAGUCUCUGGCUUUUUUACCUUUUUAUAAUGUCAAUUUAACAGAAAAUUUAAUUAUCUCAAUAAACACAUACCAGUUUAUUUUUUAUUAAAUAAUAUAAUUGUUAAAAUUACUAUUCCGAAUACUUCCAAUUUUAAUAUUCCUUUGUCAAUAUUUCUAACAAUCAAACGGCUAUAUUAUUGUCACUUUUUAUCCGAUUUUACCAUUCUUUAUAAAGUGUGUAUGAUAUUUAAAAAAAAGAUUGAUUAUAUACAUAAAGAUUUUUUUUAAUGUAUUAAUUUCUGUUGACUGGGAAUCUUGUUAAUAGUAUUAAAAAUAACACGGGAAUAAAUCAUAAAUAUACUAACAUCAAUAAUUCAUAUGAUAACAUCAAUAUCGUACUUAUAUAAUUUCUUCAUUAUUUUGCUUUUUUUGCUUAUUUUUAAGUUUAUAUUAUUAAAUAAAACUAACUUUAAAUGUAAUAAUUAAAUAAUACGAUCGAGAUGAAAAAUCAAUCCUUGGACGCACUUUAAAAAAAUCUCAGAGAAUGGAAUGCCGCGCGUUAACGAAGUUCCACGAUUCAUGACGAGUUCAGGGACUUUUGGCGCAUUCCAGAGCACAAAGGGACUAUUAUUAUCGCGAUACGUCAUUAUUCUGACUCAAGCGGAAGGCUGCAAAAAGCAUAACAUGUUAAAAUAGAACAAAAUCAGUUGCCGACGUUCACCCUCCGUCUUUCCUUCUCCCACUCUCAGGAAUUAGAUUGAAUUCAUUGAAAUCUGUUCUCGUUAGUGACGAAGCCGGCUCGUGAAUUGCGGAGGACAUUACCUCCCAGAGACGUAAUAACAAAUCGCGGGACCUUGAGCGAAACAACGAGGACGAGUGUUCUUGUUGCAGAGAGAAAAAAACGUUAAAGAGAAACGAGGAGAGUUGGUAAGGAGGAAAGGCGAGAGAGAAUUUUAAAAAAAGAGAGGAGAAAACAAAAUUUUACGAAAUAAUUAAUGUCAACGAGAUUUAAUUAUUACGAAGUUUCAUAUUUAGUUAUUUCAAGUAUAUAUAUCAUACAGGGAGAAAGAAUUUAGAAUAAAAUUCUGCCGAAACUUCACAUAGAAGUUUCUCUAGAAAAGUUUAAUUGUUAGCGAUUUUAGGAAUCUCUCCUAAAUGUUCGUACACUGAGAAAAAAUGUUAACUUGACUAAAUUUUUCAACUUGAUUAAGACGAAGAGCACGUCUGUGGUGUCUUGUAAAUAGAUAAAAUAUGUAUGGCCAAAACUAUCCUACAAUACUAAAUUCCUAAGUUAUGGAAGAGGGCCAAUGUUUAUGUUUGAAUAUUUUAAUAAUAUAAAAUUGUUAUUAUUUUCUGUUUAAUGUCGAUAGUGUUACAUGCUUUAAGUUUCAGUAAAGUAUAUAUCAAAUUCUAUUAAAAAAUAAUAAAAAUAACAAUAUGUUUUGUUGCAUUUUAAAAAACUAUGGCAUCAUACCCAAGUUUACACUAUAUUAGCAUGUAAACACUUAUCGAAAUAUGCAAAUGUAAUAUAACGAAAUAUAAAAAUCAUAGUCUCGAGUCUUA